rnacentral:lncRNA from 1 species
AUCCACCUGACUCUGCAUGGCCAUAAGCUGCACUGUGGUGGGAUUAGUGGUAUUAUGCUUUACAUUUAUUGUUGUCGUGGUCUUUGUGUGCAUGAGUCCACCCUAGGGGUCACUUACAAUAAACACAUUUUCCCUCAUCUUUCAAUUGGUGGAAUAUGGGAAACCACUUCACAGUGCUUCAGCCCCAAAGACUUUGAGGACAUGUAUGGACCUCACCUAACUAAUUAGCAUAUGAACAGCAUGAACACAAUUCUAUAAGCAUGACUUAUCAUAGACAGCCAUGGAUAUGCUGAAGCUUGUAACAGUACACAAGAAUGCAUUCCCUGAUACGGAUGGAGAUAUAUAUAGAGAGAGACACUUGCUUACUGCUAUUGCUAAUGUUGGCUCAGGUGGUUUAUUUUCUCUGGGCAUCUUACCCACUAAAAUACCCAUUCACCUCCCUAACUCUGAGAAAAUCCCAUACCACAGACACAGGGAACUUUAAUACCCCACAAUACUAAAGUUGUGUGUGAUUAACAGCCCCUGUGCCCUGUUCCAAGGCAUUCAUCACAUCCUGAGGCGCAAAUCUCUGUGGGGUACAACUUUAGAAAGAGAUCGAGUUUCAUGCCUGUGCCUUGGAGAUCAUUUCUUGAUCUAUGUGAUAGACAUUUGCCCCACUUCCAUACCUACUCUGUACCCCACAAGGCAUUAAAGUUCUCAAAUGUUCUGACCUGGACCUGGAACGUAGCUCUCCAAAGAGCAGACAUGCAGUUCUCCAGCAGACUGGUUGGAGCAUGGUCUCAGUGUGUUAAAACCAGGCACAGCAUUAAGGCAUGGUAGUGACAACACAUGUCUAGCACAACCCCUCCUGAAGGUGGCUCCCCAUGGACUCUGCAAGCCAUCUAUUCUCAACAUAUUGUACCAUCUUGGAGCUGAUCACACUGAGAAA